rnacentral:rRNA from 1 species
ACAUGCAAGUCGAGCGGAAACGAGUUAUCUGAACCUUCGGGGGACGAUAACGGCGUCGAGCGGCGGACGGGUGAGUAAUGCCUAGGAAAUUGCCCUGAUGUGGGGGAUAACCAUUGGAAACGAUGGCUAAUACCGCAUAACGCCUACGGGCCAAAGAGGGGGACCUUCGGGCCUCUCGCGUCAGGAUAUGCCUAGGUGGGAUUAGCUAGUUGGUGAGGUAAGGGCUCACCAAGGCGACGAUCCCUAGCUGGUCUGAGAGGAUGAUCAGCCACACUGGAACUGAGACACGGUCCAGACUCCUACGGGAGGCAGCAGUGGGGAAUAUUGCACAAUGGGCGCAAGCCUGAUGCAGCCAUGCCGCGUGUGUGAAGAAGGCCUUCGGGUUGUAAAGCACUUUCAGUCGUGAGGAAGGUAGUGUAGUUAAUAGCUGCAUUAUUUGACGUUAGCGACAGAAGAAGCACCGGCUAA